UUCUAGGGUCUGUCUGUGUUGUGGGGACAGCAGGUGUGCGUGUGUGCCUGUGUUUGUGGGAGACAGUGGCCCUGUUUGACCAGUGGACACCCCCACAGAAGACGUAAACAUAAGACCUGAAGCUGUAAAACUCCUAGAGGGAAACAGGGGAAAUGCUGUUUGACAUGGGUCUUGGCAAUGAUUUUUUGGAUAUGAAGCCAAAAGCACAGGCGAAAAAGCAAAAAUAGACAAGUGGGACUACACCAAACUCAAAAGCUUCUGCACAGCAAAGGAAACAACAAAAUGAAAAGGCAGCCUACGGAAUGGGAGGGAAUAUUUGCAAACCCUCUCUCUGAUAAGGGGUUAACAUCCAAGAUAUAUAAGGAACUGCUGUCACUCAAUAGCAGAAAACCAAAUCAGCCAAUUAAAAAGUGGGCAAUGGAUUUGAAUCGACAUUUAUCCAAAGAAGACAAAUAAUCAGCCGGUAUAUAAAAAGGCACCCGACAUCACUUAUCACCAGGACAUGCAAAUCAAAGCCACAGUGAGACCGACUUGCACCUGUUAGGAUGGCUGGCAUCAAAAAGACAAGAUGGCAAGUGUUGGCCGGGGUGUGGAGAAAGGGAGCCCUUGUACCCUGUUGGUGGGAAUGUAAAAUGGUGCAACCAGUAUAGGAAACAGCAUGGAGGUUCCUCGGAAAACUAAAGAUAGAUCUGCCAUCUGAUCCAGCAAUCCCUCUACUGGGUUACAGCCAAAGGAAAUGGCACCAGGAUCUUGAAGAUAGAGCUGUACUCCCAUGAUCGCUGUGGCUUUGUUGAGGAUAGCCAAGAUACGGAAACGCCCGAAGUGUCUGUGGUCAGAUGAAUG
rnacentral:lncRNA from 1 species